UAAGUGGCAGAGUGGCCU
rnacentral:snRNA from 1 species